GUCGCUAUCGUCUAGUGGUUAGGACGUCACGUUGUUGCCGUGGCAACCCCUACUCAAACCCGGGUAGUGACU
rnacentral:tRNA from 1 species